rnacentral:tRNA from 1 species
GGCGGAAUGGCAGAACUGGAGAAUGCGCCGGUCCCGAAAACCGGUGGACCUCGAAAGGGGUCUUGAAGGUUCGAAUCCUUCUUCCGCCGCCA